UACAACAAUAGUUGCUAGAAACAGAGGCUG
rnacentral:piRNA from 1 species